AGAGUUUGAUCCUGGCUCAGAGCGAACGCUGGCGGCAGGCUUAACACAUGCAAGUCGAGCGGAUGUAGCAAUACAUCAGCGGCAGACGGGUGAGUAACACGUGGGAACGUACCUUUUGGUUCGGAACAACACAGGGAAACUUGUGCUAAUACCGGAUAAGCCCUUACGGGGAAAGAUUUAUCGCCGAAAGAUCGGCCCGCGUCUGAUUAGCUAGUUGGUGAGGUAACGGCUCACCAAGGCGACGAUCAGUAGCUGGUCUGAGAGGAUGAUCAGCCACAUUGGGACUGAGACACGGCCCAAACUCCUACGGGAGGCAGCAGUGGGGAAUAUUGGACAAUGGGCGCAAGCCUGAUCCAGCCAUGCCGCGUGAGUGAUGAAGGCCCUAGGGUUGUAAAGCUCUUUUGUGCGGGAAGAUAAUGACGGUACCGCAAGAAUAAGCCCCGGCUAACUUCGUGCCAGCAGCCGCGGUAAUACGAAGGGGGCUAGCGUUGCUCGGAAUCACUGGGCGUAAAGGGUGCGUAGGCGGGUCUUUAAGUCAGGGGUGAAAUCCUGGAGCUCAACUCCAGAACUGCCUUUGAUACUGAAGAUCUUGAGUUCGGGAGAGGUGAGUGGAACUGCGAGUGUAGAGGUGAAAUUCGUAGAUAUUCGCAAGAACACCAGUGGCGAAGGCGGCUCACUGGCCCGAUACUGACGCUGAGGCACGAAAGCGUGGGGAGCAAACAGGAUUAGAUACCCCCGUAGUCC
rnacentral:rRNA from 1 species